rnacentral:lncRNA from 1 species
GAGAGACAGCUCUGUGGUUAACGGCACUCAUAGGACCAUACAGAAGUGUGAAAAGAGGGAUCUCAGCUUAUCGAAUAGAAUUUCAGCCACUGCUGAAUUACCUUUGGAUGGUCCACAAAGAAGUUGCAGAGAUACUCUCCUAGGAGAAACAGCCCCAUGAGCCACUUCAGGAUGGCUUGGCUUUCACUGACAACUGUCAAGAACUGUCCCCUGCCAUUUCACCUGAGCUGACCUGAUCUCCCCAGGGGAAUGAGCCUCGUCUUGCAAGUCCCCUUCUUUGGGUCCCUGGCAGCGCUGCUGCAGGAUACAAGGAACAGGAUGCUAUGACGAGAUAUGCAUUGAGAAGCUUCAGUCCUGCCUCCAUCCUUAUCUUCUUCUCCCUGGACCAAAAGUGAUAAUUGUCAUUUGAUCCUUAUUUAUUUUUAGAAAUAAAACUCUUAUGCAGA